CGGAGAGUUUGAUUCUGGCUCAGAACGAACGCUGGCGGCGUGGAUAAGACAUGCAAGUCGAACGAGAUCUCCAGCUAGCUUGCUAGCAGGAGUGAAAGUGGCGGACGGGUGCGUAACACGUGAGCAACCUACCCUGGAGUGGGGGACAACUCUUCGAAAGGAGGGCUAAUACCGCAUGUAGAUCUUCGGAUCAAAGGUGGCUUCGGCUACCGCUCCUGGAUGGGCUCGCGGCCUAUCAGCUUGUUGGUGAGGUAACGGCUCACCAAGGCUAUGACGGGUAGCUGGUCUGAGAGGACGAUCAGCCUCACUGGAACUGAGACACGGUCCAGACACCUACGGGUGGCAGCAGUCGAGAAUCAUUCACAAUGGGCGAAAGCCUGAUGGUGCAACGCCGCGUGGAGGAUGACGGCCCUAGGGUUGUAAACUCCUGUCAUCUGGGAGUAAUCCUUGUUCGUUAAUAGCGUGCAAGGUUGAUAGUACCAGAAGAGGAAGCGCCGGCUAACUCCGUGCCAGCAGCCGCGGUAAUACGGAGGGCGCAAGCGUUGUUCGGAAUCACUGGGCGUAAAGCGUGCGUAGGCGGCGCAGUAAGUCAGAUGUGAAAUCUCUGGGCUCAACCCGGAAACUGCAUCCGAUACUGCUGCGCUAGAGUAAUGGAGGGGUAGCUGGAAUUCUCGGUGUAGCAGUGAAAUGCGUAGAUAUCGAGAGGAACACUCGUGGCGAAGGCGAGCUACUGGACAUUUACUGACGCUGAGGCACGAAGGCCAGGGUAGCGAAAGGGAUUAGAUACCCCUGUAGUCCUGGCAGUAAACGGUGCGCGCUUGGUGUGGGAGGAUUCGACCCCUUCCGUGCCGGAGCUAACGCGUUAAGCGCGCCGCCUGGGGAGUACGACCGCAAGGUUAAAACUCAAAGAAAUUGACGGGGACCCGCACAAGCGGUGGAGU
rnacentral:rRNA from 1 species